ensembl:lncRNA
UGCAACGUGUAGGAACCCCUGGUGUUAUUUACCGUUGUCGGAGGUCCAACAGAAACGUAUCCUAAUCCAAAAUAGCAACACCCCCAUCAGUCGUGAAAUGACUACAGGGUGCACGUGUUUUAGACACAUGACAUGGAUGUGGGUUUGGACUGGUGAGAGAAUUUGCUUUCUGUUCUCUGUGCCUUUGUCUCUCCUCUGGCUGCUGCUGUUGGGCCCUCGUCUCUUCAUAUUCAUGUAUAACUUGCAGCUGCUGGCUGAUGCUGCCAAUCCGCCGUAUUCUCAGGCGGUGAUUCCCGGCACGGAUUAGAGCUGCGGUGUCAGUCACGGAUCGCCCGUUACAGGUGGGACGAUGCCACCGGCUGCUUUGAUCAUGAUGGCGGGGAAAUAAAUUAUGCAUAUGCUACACAUUAAUUAUUCCUCUUGUCCCUCCAAACCUGUUGGGAUUUAAAAGGGCCUCCAAAAAAACAUCUCAAGACUGUUUGCUAUAUAGUGAGAUGGGAGGGGGGGGUGGAGUUCACCGGCCGUGUCCUUGCAUGUCAGAUGUAAGACUUUGCGAGGACAAACGUCUGACAGAACCAUCGCGGUUCAACAUCGCAAACUUCUUUUACUUGUCAACUGAAACUUUCCCUCCUGACAUCUGUGUUGGCUUUCCGUCUCGUUGGUAAAUUUAAUUUGAGAUCCUCCUCCUUCCUGGUUCUCUCCCUCUCCCUCCCUCUCUCUCUCUCUCUCCCUCUCUGUCUCUCUCUCUCUGUCUCUUUCUCUGUCUCUCUGUAAAAAUGAAAGUCCCACGUUAAAUCCCAAAACAAGACUGAAUCCACAACACCCAGGAAUGAAUUUCUUGUCCUGUGGUGCAGCAAAUUGUGUUUUUUUUCCUCCCAGCUCAAAGGCAUAUUGCCUAUAAUUAAUAAACAUGAAGCAGAGUGAUUUCUUCUGGAAAGAUUUUUUUUUAAACGUUGGACUUUCUCCAUCAUGAUUUCUAAUUUGAAUUAUGCUCUGAUGUAGAUAUGUGUGUGUGUGUGUUUGUGUGUCUUUAUAUUCAGUAUAUAUAGAGAAAUGUACCAUGUAUGUUAGGGAAAACCAAUACGCACAUGCUUUAGCACUGCCCAUCUUAAUGAGCACACCCAAAUUGGAUAUGCUGACGGUUCUCGUCGUCUGGCUCACCUGUGCCUCCAGUCAUACAUCCAUUCCAGCGCCGACGCACCAUCGAACCAGAGAUAAAAACCCAUUUCAGGAGCAAAUAGAAAAACACAGCCAAAGCUGCACAUCGGAGGGGACAGGAUCAAGUUCCACAUUGUUUAUCGAGUGUUUUGAUUGUUAAUGUGAUUUCCUCGGCUGGGGAGUGGUACACAGAUGGGUUCAGAGACAGACCACAGUAGCCAAAUGUCAACUCCGGGUGUGGAAUCAGUGCUUUGACAAAGCGCGAGUGGGCACGGGGACAGAUGUGGCGCCUGAGGAUGCAGCGGGGACAGAGACAGAGAGAGCGAGAGAGAAGUGGACGUCCCUCUUCGGUGCUGUGCAAACCGGUGCAAUUUGAAAGACUAUUUCACUCCUGAGAAUGUAAUUCACACAAUGCAGUUGAACCGAGGAAGAGGCCAUUCAUUCAUUCAAGUGAGAAUCGGAUGGAGUGAGAGCUGUGCUUUCGCUGAGGUGCAGCGUGUGGACGUGGGCUGGAGCCAUACCUUUGCAAAAAUCCCUUUUGAUUGUAUGUUUGUAAGGGCACGCCGCAUAAAAGCUGAUUUCGGUUUAUUCCUGAAUGAACACUGUGUCCCGAUCUCCCAUUGUGACUCACAAGGUUUAACAUCAAAAGCAUUUCAGAGAAAAGAAACCAUCCACUUUGACAUUUUUUUUAAGAUUGCAAACCAAAGAAUAUUCUCUCGCCGCCAGUCAUGCAGGGACAUCACUUCAAGGUUGAAAUGCAAAAGAUGUAGCCCGUGUAAGACGCCUCUGACGCACGUCUUUAACCUUGCAAUCUCCUUUUAUUUUCAGUAUUACAGAUGGGUGAAUGAAUGCUGCAUGCAACUACGGUGCAUCCUUGAAUUUGUCACACACACAUUGUGAGAAAAGGAUGGAAGAGGCUGAGGUGGAAGUAGAGUGUCUGGAAAGGACUGUUGUGUUAUCCAAGAAUUUUGCACCAAGCCUUUAAGACAACUGCCCCCUCUCCUCUUUCCAACGAUAACGCCGCAGUCUCUGAACACAUCACACGAACGUCGACUUUAACUCUUGUUAGGUGGGUGGCGAUGAAACCGAACAAAGUGGUGCAGUGAUAUCUGCAACAAUCGCACUUCCGAAGGCUUUGUCCAAAGCGCCCAUCUUAUGGUGUUGUUAGUUCAGGAGGAUGAGCAGAGGGAAAAGUGUUUGUGCUCCAGAAUCAUCUAUUCAACAUGAGGAGAAUGAAACAUGUGUGAGGCAGAAAGGAGAUCAGAGCUUCCAGGGACGGCCUCGAAAAAGGUAUUCACAGCAGCCUUGGGUGACCCAACAUUUAUGAAAGACUCGACAUAAAGGAGAGAUGGAACAUGCUUUACGUUGGCAAAGGCAAUAAAGGCCUUUUCUAAUGUAGAAGUCUCAAUUCAUUUUGCAUUUGUGGCACCAUUCACAUUAUCGUCAGACAGAAGCUUGAAUUUGGUUCUAAAAAAUGAAAUGCAAUGUUUUUCUUAAAUGCUAAAAAAAUAGCAAGCAAACUAAUAAUUAUUAUUAUUAAAUCUGCACUGAUCCAUACUUUGGUUUCAGUGGAUAAUGUGUAAUGUGAAAGAGGUGGGAAUGAUUCUUGGACUCCUGCAGUUCCCCUCAGCUGUAAUUCAAUUGGUCAUUCGGAUCAUUGUUUCGAUUUGCGUUUCAUUUGCAAACUUUUGUUUUUGGUUUAGUCUCAUUGCAUUUAACAGCCUCAUUUUAAGGUGCACCAGGUAUUGGUUUACAGUAAAAAGGUCUUUAUUAAACCCACUGCACUGUUGCACCAAACUGUAGGGGGAAUAAAUUAGCGACACAGUGGAGCAUUUAGCUCUUGGAACAUUUCUCACAGGCAUUGUUUGCUUAAAGGAGAGGCAAUGAACUCAGAUGUCCAAACAGAUUGCUAAUAUUUCAUCUUCAAAGUGAACUAGGCAGAAUCAAUAAAGUUAUUGACCGAGUCAGCAGCUUUAUCUCUUUCUUCUCAGCUGAGAACAAUGAACAUUACUUCUUUUAUGGAAGCGAGUUGAGAACAGGAAUCAUCUGCAACGACGGGAAAAUUAUUAACAAUUGUAUUUUGGCAACAGUUCAGUACCAACCUUCCACUUAUAAAAUGUAUUAUAUUAACAAAUAACAAAACGUUCUUUUCUAUGCCAGUUGUAGUGAUCAGAGAACAAAAUUUUAAAAAAGUUGCAUUUGUCAGGUCCCCAAUCCCACCAAAAACCACAUUCCUUAAUUAUGAGAUGAAAAAUAUAGCACUGUCCCUAUUUCUUUCUUUGGUAAACAUGCAGUGAAAACAAGAUUAAAGAGAUCUUUUGAUGUAUUUUAACACAAGUCAUAUCUCCACGUUCAGUUCAUUUAUUAAACAUUUGUGUUUUGUCUCCUAAUCCAUUUCCCCGUAGUUUUCAUAUUUUAAAAUCUGCAUAGAUAAAAAAGACAAGCCCGAAAUCCCUGGUGUAUCACGAUGAAAUGAAAAGAUCUCGUGCUCUGAGAGGAUUGAAAGCUUUUUCAGUGCCGACUUGUCAUGUUCUGUGGAAGAAGUGCUUAAUUAAAUACUGAUUCCCUAUUUAAACACCCUCCUAGCUCUGCUCUCCCAAAAGCAAAGGCACUUCAAAUUAAAAAGGGCAGACACAAACAUGACAGCUGAGACAAAGACGUGCCUGCGGCGUGUCAAAUGUCAAAUGAAAUGCCAGAGAGAACUCCGUGGUUGAUAUGUAGGCCGUGCAACCUCCGUCUCAGCUCCACAGUCCCACGCUGCCGUAAAAGCUGUAUUACUGGAGCUGCAGUGACGCCGAUGACACAUAUUUAAUUCAAAGUGGCCAUGAAAGAGUCAGCAAAGUGCCGGCUCCUUUGCAUGUUAAUAGUGUAGCUACACACGGCGCUUUAGAAAAUGACCCUCCUCAGGUCUCAGCCUGAGACGCACUCGCUGUUAGCGCGGGCCUCCUGAGUGUACACGUCAAACACACUUUGAGGUUGUUGGCGAUCUGGCAAAAGAGCCUGUUGGUUACCUCGGCAACGCGGCCGCACUCCGGCGAAUUGAAGGUACCUUCCUCCUGUCCUCGGAGGUUGCAUUGCCUUUACGUUCCUUUCCCGAUGGGGAAUAACUCGGUAAUCCUCUGACCUUUUCCUGUACCCUCU